AGAGUUUGAUCAUGGCUCAGGAUGAACGCUGGCGGCGUGCUUAACACAUGCAAGUCGAACGGUGAAGAGAGAGCUUGCUUUCUUGGAUCAGUGGCGAACGGGUGAGUAACACGUGAGUAACCUGCCCCAGACUCUGGGAUAAGCACUGGAAACGGUGUCUAAUACCGGAUACGAGCUUCAGCCGCAUGGCUAGGAGUUGGAAAGAAUUUCGGUCUGGGAUGGACUCGCGGCCUAUCAGCUAGUUGGUGAGGUAAUGGCCCACCAAGGCGACGACGGGUAGCCGGCCUGAGAGGGUGACCGGCCACACUGGGACUGAGACACGGCCCAGACUCCUACGGGAGGCAGCAGUGGGGAAUAUUGCACAAUGGGCGCAAGCCUGAUGCAGCAACGCCGCGUGAGGGACGACGGCCUUCGGGUUGUAAACCUCUUUUAGUAGGGAAGAAGCGAAAGUGACGGUACCUGCAGAAAAAGCACCGGCUAACUACGUGCCAGCAGCCGCGGUAAUACGUAGGGUGCAAGCGUUAUCCGGAAUUAUUGGGCGUAAAGAGCUCGUAGGCGGUUUGUCGCGUCUGCUGUGAAAACUGGAGGCUCAACCUCCAGCCUGCAGUGGGUACGGGCAGACUAGAGUGCGGUAGGGGAGAUUGGAAUUCCUGGUGUAGCGGUGGAAUGCGCAGAUAUCAGGAGGAACACCGAUGGCGAAGGCAGAUCUCUGGGCCGUAACUGACGCUGAGGAGCGAAAGCAUGGGGAGCGAACAGGAUUAGAUACCCUAGUAGUCC
rnacentral:rRNA from 1 species